rnacentral:rRNA from 1 species
AUGGACGCAAGUCUGAUGGAGCAACGCCGCGUGAGUGAAGAAGGGUUUCGGCUCGUAAAGCUCUGUUGGUAGUGAAGAAAGAUAGAGGUAGUAACUGGCCUUUAUUUGACGGUAAUUACUUAGAAAGUCACGGCUAACUACGUGCCAGCAGCCGCGGUAAUACGUAGGUGGCAAGCGUUGUCCGGAUUUAUUGGGCGUAAAGCGAGUGCAGGCGGUUCAAUAAGUCUGAUGUGAAAGCCUUCGGCUCAACCGGAGAAUUGCAUCAGAAACUGUUGAACUUGAGUGCAGAAGAGGAGAGUGGAACUCCAUGUGUAGCGGUGGAAUGCGUAGAUAUAUGGAAGAACACCAGUGGCGAAGGCGGCUCUCUGGUCUGCAACUGACGCUGAGGCUCGAAAGCAUGGGUAGCGAACAGGAUUAGAUACCCUGGUAGUCCAUGCCGUAAACGAUGAGUGCUAAGUGUUGGGAGGUUUCCGCCUCUCAGUGCUGCAGCUAACGCAUUAAGCACUCCGCCUGGGGAGUACGACCGCAAGGUUGAAACUCAAAGGAAUUGACGGGGGCCCGCACAAGCGGUGGAGCAUGUGGUUUAAUUCGAAGCAACGCGAAGAACCUUACCAGGUCUUGACAUCCAGUGCAAACCUAAGAGAUUAGGUGUUCC